rnacentral:rRNA from 1 species
AGGUACUCCGGGGAUAACAGGCUGAUACCGCCCAAGAGUUCAUAUCGACGGCGGUGUUUGGCACCUCGAUGUCGGCUCAUCACAUCCUGGGGCUGAAGUAGG